rnacentral:rRNA from 1 species
UACGAAGGGGGCUAGCGUUGCUCGGAAUGACUGGGCGUAAAGGGCGCGUAGGCGGCUUGUACAGUCAGAUGUGAAAUUCCUGGGCUCAACCUGGGGGCUGCAUUUGAUACGUAUGGGCUUGAGUGGGGAAGAGGGUCGUGGAAUUCCCAGUGUAGAGGUGAAAUUCGUAGAUAUUGGGAAGAACACCGGUGGCGAAGGCGGCGACCUGGUCCUUGACUGACGCUGAGGCGCGAAAGCGUGGGGAGCAAACAGG